UACGAAGGGGGCUAGCGUUGUUCGGAAUUACUGGGCGUAAAGGGCUCGUAGGUGGCCAACUAAGUCAGACGUGAAAUCCCUCGGCUUAACCGGGGAACUGCGUCUGAUACUGGAUGGCUUGAGUUCGGGAGAGGGAUGCGGAAUUCCAGGUGUAGCGGUGAAAUGCGUAGAUAUCUGGAGGAACACCGGUGGCGAAGGCGGCAUCCUGGACCGACACUGACACUGAGGAGCGAAAGCCAGGGGAGCAAACGGG
rnacentral:rRNA from 1 species